rnacentral:rRNA from 1 species
UACGAAGGGUGCAAGCGUUACUCGGAAUUACUGUGCGUAAAGCGUGCGUAGGUGGUGAGUUAAGUCUGUCGUGAAAGCCCCGGGCUCAACCUGGGAAUGGCGAUGGAUACUGGCUCGCUAGAGUGCGGUAGAGGAGAGUGGAAUUCCCGGUGUAGCAGUGAAAUGCGUAGAGAUCGGGAGGAACAUCAGUUGCGAAGGCGGCUCUCUGGACCAGCACUGACACUGAGGCACGAAAGCGUGGGGAGCAAACAGG